UGACCUGUUCACCGGACGUGCUACCUUGGUCCGGACCUGUGGGACUUUAGACAAAGCAAGCUGUCACCCGGUGGGAGUCUCUUAAUGCAAACUGGUCAUGUGCAUGAGGAAUUCAACACGAUCUAGAAUUUGUCGAUUACAGGUCCCCCAGCUGUUCCAGAGCUAGCACACCUGAUUCAACGUGUUAAUAAUUAAUAAACAAAAUAAUAAAACCGAUGGAAUUUUCCCAAAUAUAAUAUGGCUAUUAAAGGGUUGGACCAGAGUGGAACCGUUUUUUGGUACUGUAAGACGCAGUAUUAGAUAAAACGUUGCGACCCUGCCCACCUGUGGGGAAAACAACCUGUGGUUACCUAGAUUACCUCAUUGGCUCACAGAAAAAUGUAACCUUUUUCGAACGCAAUUUUCUUGUCUGCUUGUUUUAGUCAAUUACAAAACUACAUUUAAGAAAAGUAAAACAUGUCUAAAGAUGACUUUUCAACAUUGCCCUACUCCCUAGCAUUCUCUCUACUUAUAUAAACGUAAUAUUGUAGGGCUUCCCUCAUGCCCCUUUUCAUGAGGAUGCUUGCAGCCACGUGAGUGAGUGCUAGCUAGCUACC